AUUGUAUAUAAAUAAACAAAGCAGGCAUCUAAAAAAUCAUACUUAAAAUUAUAUUUAUAUAUCACUAUUCGUCAUAUUCUAAAUUUGUAAAGCCGUUGUGUAUGCAAAAUUAAGAGUAAUACAUGAGGAAGUUGUCGGGGUUUCGCUAAAUAAUAACAACGAUGCUGGGAGUAAUUACCAAACAAAUUCUAGUUAUGUCUAUACGCUGCCUGGCCACCCGCAAGGACGGCAUGCUUCGUAAAGGACCUAGGCUGCCUAGGCUACCGAUUAAAGGACCAAGGGAUUUCGAUUACUGGCGUGGCUUGAAGCGAAAACCAAAAAAGCCAAAAGAUAAAAUUACAAAAGUUAAUAGAUUUAAACAUCGUAAACCGGAAAUUCGCAAGCCAAAGGAGAAAAGAGAAAUGCCAACAGAAGAAGACGAAGAAGCAGCAAAAAAAUCAACGUGAAUUUAAUAAAAUCCAUUAAUUCGGAAACUAAAUACAUUUGAAUAAAAUGCAAUGUACAUGACAGCUCUAACCUAAAUGUGCCCAAUUAAUCGAUAUUUUAUUUGAAAACUCAAUCUGCCUCUUGUCUACUUGUUGGAUUUUUAAUAAUCAAAAUGGAUGCUCUUUGGAUUCACCUGGUCAAGGCGCUCCUGAAGAACAUCCAGCUUUCGGAGUAAACUGCAAUACAUCUGGCAACUCUACGCACAGCUGGGCUGUAAAUGUACUCAUACUCGAUGCCGCAAAAGUACUGUUUGCAAAAAGCAUCUGGCUUUGUCUUCAGCUUUGUUUAUUCGUUCGCUGGUAUUUGCCUGGCAUGGCGCUGUUGAGGAGCGUUUCGAAUGGCUUUUCGGCUGUAUUCCGGCGCUUUGCCAGCUCGAGUGGCUGCACCAUUUACAGCCUCAGUUCGGGGCACGUCAAGUGCGGCGUCUCCGUCAUCCGUGUGUCUGGGCCACAAACAAAGCAGGCGCUGCGCGCUGUUGUGAACAACAGCGAAUACGAGCCGAAGCAGCGGCUGGCAUAUCUGAAAUCAUUUUAUCAUCCCACCAGCAAAGAGAUCAUCGACAGGGGUCUGCUAUUGUGGUUUCCCGGUCCAGCCUCCUUCACGGGCGAAGAUGCUUGUGAGUUUCAAGUGCACGGCUCGCUUGCCGUCAUUUCGGCUAUGCUCGAUGCCCUGGGCCAAUUACCGGGUCUACGGCCCGCACAGCCGGGUGAAUUUACAAAGCGAGCGUUUUUCGGAGGCAAGCUGGACUUGACCGAAGUGGAGGGCCUAUCCGAUUUGAUACACGCCGAAACUGAGGCACAGCGCAAACAGGCUUUGCUACAAAGCACCGGCACCCUGGGCCGCCUCUAUGAUAACUGGCGCAAGCGUCUUAUUCGCUGUGCCGCACAUUUGGAGGCGUACAUUGACUUCGCCGAGGAUGAGCAAAUAGAAGGCGGCGUAGUAUUGAAGUUGACCAAGGAACUAAAAGCCGUGCAACGCGAGAUACGCGCUCAUCUGAAUGACCAGCGGCAGGGCGAGCUGCUGCGAGACGGUGUACGCACUGUCAUUAUCGGAGCUCCAAAUGUAGGCAAGAGCAGCCUGUUAAAUCUGCUCUGCCAGCGUGCAGUGUCCAUUGUGACCGAUCAGGCGGGCACCACACGAGAUAUAAUAGAGACAACGCACAGCUUUGGCGGCUAUCCCGUUGUCUUUGCGGAUACGGCAGGACUUCGUAAGCACACAACGGACGCAAUUGAGAUGGAGGGCAUGGCCCGAGCAAGGCAAUGUCUCGCCCAGUCUGACCUUAUAUUGCUGCUGACGGAUGCGAAAGCUCUGCGAGAUGUGGACAGCAAUGAAUCCCUAAAUGGCCGUAUCGACAGCUAUUUGCAGGAGCUGGACAUACCAAAGGAGCUGUGCAGGGGCAAACGCUUGCAGCUGGUGGCAAACAAAACGGAUACGCUAUCUGCCGAAGAGAUUGACCAUCUCAGGAAACUAAAGGAUGUGCUGUGCAUAUCUUGCCACAAGCAAGACAACUUGCCGGAGUUUCUGGGCUCCUUAGAGCAGCUGCUGCAACAACUAUGUGGAACACCGCAGGCGGAACAUCCACGCAUCACGCACAGCCGCUAUCGACAGCAACUGGAGCGCUGCAUCGAACACAUCGAGAUAUUCCUAAGAGAUUACAAGCCCGAUGUCUUCCCUGACAUGGCCAUAGCAGCACAGCAGCUGCGUAAAUCGGUGCGCUGUAUCGAACGCAUCACUGGACAUGUCAGCUGCGAAGACAUACUCGAUGUUAUCUUCAAAGACUUUUGCAUUGGAAAAUAGUUCAUAUGCCUAAUCAUUAAGUACAAAGAUUGUAUAGACUACAAACAAAGUGAAUUGAUUACCAAUGCACUAUCACUACCAUAAGCCAUUAAUCUUAACUUGUAUAUUUAAGCAGUCCAAUAAUAUAAUAUUUUUGAAAGAAAGAGAUAUCAAAUAGAAUACCCCUAUUUAGAGCAGUCUUUCAAAAUUUGAAUUCGAUAAGGAAUUGUAGCAAAAAAUACUAUCGAUAGACCGAUUGCUCAAGUGUCCACUUACAUCACUAGAAAAUAU